rnacentral:rRNA from 1 species
UUAGUUGGUAAGGUAACGGCCUACCAAGACGAUGAUGCGUAGCCGGGCUGAGAGGCUGAACGGCCACAUUGGGACUGAGACACGGCCCAGACUCCUACGGGAGGCAGCAGUAGGGAAUUUUCGGCAAUGGGGGAAACCCUGACCGAGCAACGCCGCGUGAGUGAUGAAAGUCUUCGGAUUGUAAAGCUCUGUUAUAAGGGAAGAACGUCCCGGAUAGUCUCCGGGAGUGACGGUACCUUAUCAGAAAGCUACGGCUAACUACGUGCCAGCAGCCGCGGUAAUACGUAGGUAGCGAGCGUUAUCCGGAAUUAUUGGGCGUAAAGGGUGCGUAGGCGGCUUGUUAAGUUUAAGGUGAAAGCGUGGGGCUCAACCCCAUAAAGCCUUAGAUACUGACGAGCUAGAGUACUGGAGAGGGUAGUGGAAUUCCAUGUGUAGCGGUAAAAUGCGUAGAUAUAUGGAGGAACACCGGUGGCGAAGGCGGCUACCUAGACAGAGACUGACGCUGAUGCACGAAAGCGUGGGGAGCAAAUAGGAUUAGAUACCCUAGUAGUCCACGCUGUAAACGAUGAAUACUAG